AUGAAUGAGGGAUUCAGGGCGGAACGCAGACGUUGUGAAGCUCUUCCUCGGAUGUCAUACUGAACCAUCAAGCAAAUUGAGCGAAAUGGAUCAAUCUCAAGUCAACCUAACCUAACAAGUUCGUGGAUUGACUUAAAUGGAUCCGUGUUGUUUUAUAGACAUCUAUAUGUUGUUUUUGGUGUACAUUGGUAGUUCUAUAGUAGUAAUAUACAAAAGCAAAACUAAAAAAGUUUUUAGGUUAACUGGUCGUUUUCGCUUGACCCUCUAAAUACGCUAUUUGUGGUUUGGUUUGUGUGUCCGUCAUGUUUUGGGUGGGUCGUUGUCGUUUGAACCUCUAAAUACGCUAUCUGUGGUUUGGUUUGUAUGCCUGUCACGUUUUGGGUUUGUCGUGUCUAAUUGGGUUCAAUCAGCCAACCCAUGAGCACAACCCAUUGAAUAUUGUCGUUUGCGUGUGUUUGUCCUCUCAAAGUCUCAAAUCUCACUCCAUUUUCAUACUGGGGUUAGUCGUUUUCGUUGUUGUUUGAACCUCUAAAUACGCUAUUUGUGGUUUGUAAGUUUUGUUUCGUGGUGUUUCAUAAGUUUAUAAAGGGUUAUGUACUUAUGUUGAUUAUUGAAUCAAGUCAAAUAACUUAUAAAUUAUAUUAAAAAAUGGUAUCUCCGAGGAUCCCCCACUGCAAUGUAUAUUCUCUUUCCAGCUGUGUGUAAUUGAAAUUGAGUAUUUAAAUUUGUAGAGUUGUAUUAUUAUGUUUUCAAUAAUUGAAUGUAUAAAAC
rnacentral:lncRNA from 1 species